AGUGAACGCUGGCGGUAGGCCUAACACAUGCAAGUCGAACGGCAGCACAGAGGAGCUUGCUCCUUGGGUGGCGAGUGGCGGACGGGUGAGGAAUACAUCGGAAUCUACUCUGUCGUGGGGGAUAACGUAGGGAAACUUACGCUAAUACCGCAUACGACCUACGGGUGAAAGCAGGGGACCUUCGGGCCUUGCGCGAUUGAAUGAGCAGAUGUCGGAUUAGCUAGUUGGCGGGGUAAAGGCCCACCAAGGCGACGAUCCGUAGCUGGUCUGAGGGUAUGAUCAGCCACACUGGAACUGAGACACGGUCCAGACUCCUACGGGAGGCAGCAGUGGGGAAUAUUGGACAAUGGGCGCAAGCCUGAUCCAGCCAUACCGCGUGGGUGAAGAAGGCCUUCGGGUUGUAAAGCCCUUUUGUUGGGAAAGAAAUCCAGCUGGCUAAUACCCGGUUGGGAUGACGGUACCCAAAGAAUAAGCACCGGCUAACUUCGUGCCAGCCGCCGCAGUAA
rnacentral:rRNA from 1 species